rnacentral:rRNA from 1 species
AUUGAACGCUGGCGGAAUGCUUUACACAUGCAAGUCGAACGGUAGAGGGGGCAACCCCUCGAGAGUGGCGAACGGGUGAGUAAUAUAUCGGAACGUGCCCAGUCGUGGGGGAUAACGUAGCGAAAGUUACGCUAAUACCGCAUCCGAUCUAAGGAUGAAAGCGGGGGAUAGCAAGACAUCGCGCGAUUGGAGCGGCCGAUAUCGGAUUAGGUAGUUGGUGGGGUAAAGGCCCACCAAGCCAACGAUCUGUAGCUGGUCUGAGAGGACGACCAGCCACACUGGAACUGAGACACGGUCCAGACUCCUACGGGAGGCAGCAGUGGGGAAUUUUGGACAAUGGGCGAAAGCCUGAUCCAGCCAUUCCGCGUGCAGGAUGAAGGCCCUCGGGUUGUAAACUGCUUUUGUACAGAACGAAAAGGUUUCUACUAAUACUAGGAGCUCAUGACGGUACUGUAAGAAUAAGCACCGGCUAACUACGUGCCAGCCGCCGCGGUAA